rnacentral:snoRNA from 1 species
UGGUAGUGAUGCGGACAAACAUUCAACAAUUGUUUGAAUCGAGACCAUGCUUGGUACAUAUCCUCCCCAUUUUUCUGUUUGAUGCUCAAUAUUUCACUCCUUAACCG